GGGGGGACAGGCGAGGGCCUCGUACCCGAUGUCGGCUACGGUUCCGACGAGCGAGAUUUUUUUUAUUUUGUUUGGUUUGUUGUUCGCGCCAUUGGAGCCGAGUCGAUUAAGUUAAACGAACGGGAUCGCGGCGAGUGGCCCAGUCUCUUAACGCUAAGGCCACGCAGCAGAUUAUUUGUUUGUAAUUAUUUUUUAAUUAGUUUUUUUGUGUAAAACUUUUUUUUCCUUGAUCGCGAACCCCUCCAGAUCUACCGCUUCCCGCCAGCUCGCUUUACAAGCGCCCGUUUCGGUGAAGCUUUACAUUUAUUUUUUAUUUUAAAAUUAUAAUUACGACGGACGAAGCCGCCUGGUAAGUAAGGCGAAACAACGACCCGGUUUGUGUUGUUGUUGUGUGGUUGUUGUUGUGUGGUUGUUGUGUUUGUGUGGUGGUGGUGUUGUUGGAUGAGUUUGGGUUUUAUUUCAUUCGCAUUUCUUUCCUAAUCUCUUUCCUAGCUCAUAGCGGCGUGGCUGUGGGUCGUGGCCGCUGUUAACGCAACACCAAGCCGGGGUUGUGAUUGUUUGGCCUUUCUUUCCUCCAUCGUUCUUCUUUCUUUCCUCAUUCUUUCAUUCCUCCUUCCUUCCUUGCUUGCUCUUCGGGGCUGAUGUGCGAUGAGCUCCUUCCCCAAACCCCCCAAGGCGAACGAGCGAGGCUCUGGGUCGUGGCCGCUGUUAACGCAACACGAACCCCUGCCUGGUUGUGUGUGUUGUUGUUGGGGGUGGUGGUUAUUUUUUUUACACCUUUCAUUCAUUCACAUUUCGUUCUCAACCUUUCCUUCGCUUUCCUUCCUCGUCCUUUCGGGACUGAGGUGGGACGAGGCCCCCCCCCAACUCCUCCUCGAGGCAAACGCGAGGCUUGUGGUCGCUGCUAACGCAAAACGAACCGGGUUUGUGUUGUUGUUGUGGUGGUGGUUAGUUUUUCAUUUCAUUCAUUCACCUUUCGUUCAUCUUUCCUUCUUAUCUUUCCCUCUCGCCCUGUCGGCACUGAUGCGCGAUGUUGAGGGGCCCUCCUCAAGGCGAACGAGAGCGAGGCUUGUGGUCGCGUACGCCGCCAAUUCAAACACGACCCUGGUUGUGUUUUUUUACUUAAUUCUCCCGAUCUUUCGAUUUUUUCCUUCUUCUCGCCUUUCCUUCCUCUCCACCACCACCAACCACCCUUUCGGGACUGAUGCGCGAUGUUGAGGCCUGAGGUUGCCAAUUCGCGCGCUCUCCCCAACCCCCAUCGCCUCCCACGUAACAAACAACCACCAUCAUCUUCACCACCACCAUCAUCACCGAACAAAGAUCUCUCUCUCUCUCGUCCGUCUAUCUUGACGACGGACGACUACGCUUCUCGAUCGCUUUGUUCGUCCGUUGUUGUGUGUGUGUUCGUUUGUUGUUGUUUAAUGGUUAGUUUGGUUUUGACGCGGGAAUGUUCGUUACGCGGCGCUGGUGGUGGUGGUGGUGAUGGAGCGCCGCCAUUACAGGAGCCGGGGACGCUGCGCCGCACGCGAAGGCCGUGGAUUCACGCGGACGGGGGCCCCACGGGCGAUUAAUGAAGCCCCUAGACUAUCGUCGUUGUUGUCGGUGUUGUUGUUGAUGAUGGUGUUGUUGUUGAUGAUGGUGUUGUUGCGGGAGAUGUGUUGUGAAGGUUGCGGUUCGUUACGUGGUGGUGGUGGUAGCGGUGAUGGGUUCGCCAUUAACACGAGUCCCAGACUGCCACAGAGGGCUAUAGACUGUCACAGAGGGCUGUAGACUGCCACAGAGGGCUAUAGACUGUCACAGAGGGCUAUAGACUGCCACAGAGGGCUAUAGACUGUCACAGAGGGCUAUAGACUGUCACAGAGGGCUAUAGACUGCCACAGAGGGCUGUAGACUGCCACAGAGGGCUAUACACUGUCACAGAGGGCUAUAGACUCUCACAGAGGGCUAUACACUGCUACAGAGGGCUAUGGACUGCCACAGAGGGCUAUAGACUGCCACAGAGGGCUAUAGACUGCCACAGAGGGCUAUAGACUGUCACAGAGGGCUAUAGACUGUCACAGAGGGCUAUGGACUGUCACAGAGGGCUAUAGACUGUCACAGAGGGCUAUAGACUGUCACAGAGGGCUAUGGACUGUCACAGAGGGCUAUAGACUGCCACAGAGGGCUAUAGACUGCCACAGAGGGCUAUGGACUGUCACAGAGGGCUAUGGACUGCCACAGAGGGCUAUAGACUGCCACAGAGGGCUAUAGACUGCCACAGAGGGCUAUAGACUGCCACAGAGGGCUAUAGACUGCCACAGAGGGCUAUAGACUGUCACAGAGGGCUAUAGACUGCCACAGAGGGCUAUAGACUGCCACAGAGGGCUAUACACUGCUACAGAGGGCUAUGGACUGCCACAGAGGGCUGUAGACUGCCACAGAGGGCUAUAGACUGCCACAGAGGGCUAUAGACUGUCACAGAGGGCUAUAGACUGUCACAGAGGGCUAUGGACUGCCACAGAGGGCUAUAGACUGCCACAGAGGGCUAUAGACUGUCAGAGGGCUAUAGACUGCCACAGAGGGCUAUAGACUGCCACAGAGGGCUAUAGACUGCCACAGAGGGCUAUGGACUGUCACAGAGGGCUAUAGACUGCCACAGAUGACUAUAGACUGUCACAGAGGGCUAUAGACUGUCACAGAGGGCUAUAGACUGUCACAGAGGGCUAUAGACUGUCACAGAGGGCUAUAGACUGCCACAGAGGGCUAUAGACUGCCACAGAGGGCUAUAGACUGCCACAGAGGGCUAUAGACUGCCACAGAGGGCUAUAGAGUGCCAUAGAGGGCUAUAGACUGCCACAGAUGACUAUAGACUGUCACAGAGGGCUAUAGACUGUCACAGAGGGCUAUAGACUGCCACAGAGGGCUAUAGACUGCCACAGAGGGCUAUAGACUGCCACAGAGGGCUAUAGACUGCCACAGAGGGCUAUAGACUGCCACAGAGGGCUAUAGACUGCCACAGAGGGCUAUAGACUGCCACAGAGGGCUAUAGACUGCCACAGAGGGCUAUAGACUGCCACAGAGGGCUAUAGACUGCCACAGAGGGCUAUAGACUGCCACAGAGGGCUAUAGACUGCCACAGAGGGCUAUAGAGUGCCACAGAGGGCUAUAGACUGCCACAGAUGACUAUAGACUGUCACAGAGGGCUAUAGACUGUCACAGAGGGCUAUAGACUGCCACAGAGGGCUAUAGACUGCCACAGAGGGCUAUAGACUGCCACAGAGGGCUAUAGACUGCCACAGAGGGCUAUAGACUGCCACAGAGGGCUAUAGACUGCCACAGAGGGCUAUAGACUGCCACAGAGGGCUAUAGACUGCCACAGAGGGCUAUAGACUUCCACAGAGGGCUAUAGACUUCCACAGAGGGCUAUAGACUUCCACAGAGGGCUAUAGACUUCCACAGAGGGCUAUAGACUUCCACAGAGGGCUAUAGACUUCCACAGAGGGCUAUAGACUUCCACAGAGGGCUAUAGACUUCCACAGAGGGCUAUAGACUGCCACAGAAAGCUAUAGACUGCCACAGAGUGCCACAGAGGGCUACAGACUGCCACAGACUGUCACAGACGACUAUAGACUGUCACGGAGGGCUAUAGACUCCCACAGAGGGCUAUAGACUGUCACAGAGGGCUAUAGACUGCCACAGAGGGCUAGAGAGGGCUAUAGACUGUCACGGAGGGCUAUAGACUGUCACAGAGGGCUAUAGACUGCCACAGAGGGCUAUAGACUGUCACAGAGGGCUAUAGACUGCCACAGAGGGCUAUACACUGCCACAGAGGGCUAUAGACUGCCAUAGAGGGCUAUAGACUGCCACAGAGGGCUAUAGACUGCCACAGAGGGCUAUAGACUGCCACAGAGGGCUAUAGACUGCCACAGAGGGCUAUAGACUGCCAUAGAGGGCUAUAGACUGCCAUAGAGGGCUAUAGGCUGUCACAGAGGGCUAUAGACUGUCACAGAGCUAUAGACUGCCACAGAGGGCUAUAGACCGUCACAGAGAGCUAUAGACUGUCACAGAUUGCCACAGAGGGCUAUAGACUGUCACAGACUGCCACAGAGGGCUACAGAGGGCUAUAGACUGCCACAGAGUGCUAUAGACUGUCCCAGACUGUCACAGAGGGCUAUAGACUGCCACAGAGGGCUAUAGACUGCCACAUAGGGCUAUAGACUGCCACAGAGGGCUGUAGACUGCCACAGAGGGCUGUAGACUGCCACAGAGGGCUAUAGACUGCCACAGAGGGCUAUAGACUGCCACAGAGGGCUAUAGACUGUCACAGACUGUCACAGAGGGCUAUAGACUGUCACAGAGGGCUAUAGACUGUCCCAGACUGUCCCAGACUGCUACAGACUGCCAUAGAGGGCUAUAGACUCUCACAGAGGGCUAUAGACUGCCACAGAGGGCUACAGACUGCCACAGAGGGCUAUAGACUGCCACAGACUGCCACAGAGGGCUAUAGACUGCCACAGAGGGCUAUAGACUGCCACAGAGGGCUACAGACUGCCACAGAGGGCUACAGACUAUCACAGACUGUCGCAGAGGGCUACAGACUAUCACAGACUGUCGCAGAGGGCUACAGACUAUCACAGACUGCCACAGAGGGCUAUAGACUGCCACAGAGGGCUAUAGACUGUCACAGAGGGCUAUGGACUGCCACAGAGGGCUAUAGACUGUCACAGAGGGCUAUAGACUGCCACAGAGGGCUAUAGACUGUCACAGAGGGCUAUAGACUGUCACAGAGGGCUAUAGAUUGCCAUACACUGCCACGGAGGGCCACGGGCGAUUGCGGAGGGCCACGGACGAGUACUGAAUGCCGUAGACUGUCGGUGUUGUGGGAGAGGUGUGUGGGGGUUGUGUUUGGUGGUGAUGGGUUCGCCAUUACACGGGCCACAGACUGCUACGGAGGGCCACUGACGACUACCCAGAGUUAUAAACCCACUACAAACAAACCCAAUCCACGGAAUUUCCCCCUUCGAAUCUCGAUCCAUUGCAGGGGGAAUUGAAUCGAGUGCAGCUUCAAGCCACGACCUGGGAUCGCACUUAACCACGUGGUGUAAUUUUAUCACGCCCCCAGGGUGGUUGAGAGAUGUUGACUACCUCGCCUGUUGUGCAGGAGGGCGUGGGUUCGAUCCCGACCCCUGACGGUGCCUGUAUUUGGCGAUGUUAACUACCUCGCCUGGCGUGCAGGAGUUUGUGGGAUCGAUCCUGACGCUGUAUAUUUGGAGCUUGCAUUAACUCAUCAUCACGGUGGCUAGGACAUGUGUUAACUUCCUCGCCUGGUGUGCAGGAGGCCGUGGGUUCGAUCCCGAUCCCUGACGGUGCCUGUAUUUGGCGAUGUUAACUACCUCGCCUGGUGUGCAGGAGGCCGUGGGUUCGAUCCCGACCCUGAAGGGGGUCGUGUAAUUGGUGGAACGCAGGAUUGAGAGAAUGGCAGAGAUUUUGGUAGGCCUUAAUACAGCAGUGGAUAGGCCACGGCCAGUGAUAUUGGUUCUUCAUCAGCGGUCGAUCAACGCACGCUCUUUCGGAGCUCGAGUACCGUUGGCGGUGCAAUCCAGUUACAUUUAUUCUCUGGUUUAUAAACUAAAC